rnacentral:tRNA from 1 species
GGAGUUGUGGCUCAGUGGUAGAGUGCUCGCCUAGCAUAUGUGAGGCGCUGGGUUUGAUCCUCAGCACCA